rnacentral:rRNA from 1 species
UACGAAGGGGGCUAGCGUUGUACGGAAUUACUGGGCGUAAAGCGCACGCAGGCGGAUUUAUAAGUCAGGGGUGAAAUCCCGGGGCUCAACCUCGGAAUUGCCCUUGAUACUGUCGAUCUUGAGUCCGGGAGAGGUGAGUGGAAUUCCUAGUGUAGAGGUGAAAUUCGUAGAUAUUAGGAAGAACACCAGUGGCGAAGGCGGCUCACUGGCCCGGUACUGACGCUCAUGUGCGAAAGCGUGGGGAGCAAACAGG